AUGAACGCUAGCUACAGGCUUAACACAUGCAAGUCGAGGGGCAUCAGGAAGAAAGCUUGCUUUCUUUGCUGGCGACCGGCGCACGGGUGAGUAACACGUAUCCAACCUGCCCUUUACUCGGGGAUAGCCUUUCGAAAGAAAGAUUAAUACCCGAUGGCAUAAUGAUUCCGCAUGGUUUCAUUAUUAAAGGAUUCCGGUAAAGGAUGGGGAUGCGUUCCAUUAGGUUGUUGGUGAGGUAACGGCUCACCAAGCCUUCGAUGGAUAGGGGUUCUGAGAGGAAGGUCCCCCACAUUGGAACUGAGACACGGUCCAAACUCCUACGGGAGGCAGCAGUGAGGAAUAUUGGUCAAUGGGCGCUAGCCUGAACCAGCCAAGUAGCGUGAAGGAUGAGGGCUCUAUGGGUCGUAAACUUCUUUUAUAUAAGAAUAAAGUGCAGUAUGUAUACUGUUUUGUAUGUAUUAUAUGAAUAAGGAUCGGCUAACUCCGUGCCAGCAGCCGCGGUAAUACGGAGGAUCCGAGCGUUAUCCGGAUUUAUUGGGUUUAAAGGGAGCGUAGGUGGACUGGUAAGUCAGUUGUGAAAGUUUGCGGCUCAACCGUAAAAUUGCAGUUGAUACUGUCAGUCUUGAGUACAGUAGAGGUGGGCGGAAUUCGUGGUGUAGCGGUGAAAUGCUUAGAUAUCACGAAGAACUCCGAUUGCGAAGGCAGCUCACUGGACUGCAACUGACACUGAUGCUCGAAAGUGUGGGUAUCAAACAGGAUUAGAUACCCUGGUAGUCCACACAGUAAACGAUGAAUACUCGCUGUUUGCGAUAUACAGUAAGCGGCCAAGCGAAAGCAUUAAGUAUUCCACCUGGGGAGUACGCCGGCAACGGUGAAACUCAAAGGAAUUGACGGGGGCCCGCACAAGCGGAGGAACAUGUGGUUUAAUUCGAUGAUACGCGAGGAACCUUACCCGGGCUUAAAUUGCAGUGGAAUGAUGUGGAAACAUGUCAGUGAGCAAUCACCGCUGUGAAGGUGCUGCAUGGUUGUCGUCAGCUCGUGCCGUGAGGUGUCGGCUUAAGUGCCAUAACGAGCGCAACCCUUAUCUUUAGUUACUAACAGGUCAUGCUGAGGACUCUAGAGAGACUGCCGUCGUAAGAUGUGAGGAAGGUGGGGAUGACGUCAAAUCAGCACGGCCCUUACGUCCGGGGCUACACACGUGUUACAAUGGGGGGUACAGAAGGCAGCUAGCGGGUGACCGUAUGCUAAUCCCAAAAUCCUCUCUCAGUUCGGAUCGAAGUCUGCAACCCGACUUCGUGAAGCUGGAUUCGCUAGUAAUCGCGCAUCAGCCACGGCGCGGUGAAUACGUUCCCGGGCCUUGUACACACCGCCCGUCAAGCCAUGGGAGCCGGGGGUACCUGAAGUGCGUAACCGCGAGGAGCGCCCUAGGGUAAAACUGGUGACUGGGGCU
rnacentral:rRNA from 1 species